AUUGAACGCUGGCGGCAGGCCUAACACAUGCCAGUCGAACGGUAACAGGAAGCAGCUUGCUGCUUCGCUGACGAGUGGCGGACGGGUGAGUAAUGUCUGGGAAACUGCCUGAUGGAGGGGGAUAACUACUGGAAACGGUAGCUAAUACCGCAUAACGUCGCAAGACCAAAGAGGGGGACCUUAGGGCCUCUUGCCAUCGGAUGUGCCCAGAUGGGAUUAGCUAGUAGGUGGGGUAACGGCCCACCUAGGCGACGAUCCCUAGCUGGUCUGAGAGGAUGACCAGCCACACUGGAACUGAGACACGGUCCAGACUCCUACGGGAGGCAGCAGUGGGGAAUAUUGAACAAUGGGCGCAAGCCUGAUGCAGCCAUGCCGCGUGUAUGAAGAAGGCCUUCGGGUUGUAAAGUACUUUCAGCGGGGAGGAAGGGAGUAAAGUUAAUACCUUUGCUCAUUGACGUUACCCGCAGAAGAAGCACCGGCUAACUCCGUG
rnacentral:rRNA from 1 species